ACCAUGAUGCGCACAUUUCUCUGUUUUAGCAUUCUGCCUUUAUAGUAGUUCGAUUAUAUUACAAUUAGGAUUCAUUCAUAAUUAGUACUUAUUAAAAUGUUUUUUUUCUCUUAUAGGUUAUUUGUGGCAGUACCUAAUCAGUUGAAGAUCCAAACUGGCACAUUCUGAUUGCCACUACACCCGUUGCAAAGGUUUUCUGAUGUAGCACUUGCUGGAGCAUAUGUACUGUGUAGUUGCCAAGCUUAUUAUUUAAUAUCUAAGAGUACUAACAUUUAGCUUUACGUUCUGCAUAGGUGUUCCCAAUAAUAUCCCUACAAGGCAGAUAUACUAUCUAUUAUUAUCUAUAAGAAUCAUUUCAAUGAAUAAAACAAGGAAGUGAGGAAGAAAUAAAUUUGAUCUUUUUUUUUGAAACUUUCUUAUCGAAGAGAAAUUCUGAACUCUAUAAUGUGAGAUGACAGGAUCUAUACAUGUGGCUAUUACAUUGUUUUUUUGGUUUCUGCAUAUUUUUUCCAUGCAUGUGAUGUUAGUUCCAGUUAAAUAUUGUGCAUAGACUUAUUCAGUUUCUUAUUUGUCUACAAUGCGUCAAACAAUGAGCUCGUGAGGACUCAGACCAUUGUGAAGAGCGCCAUUGUACAAGUUGAUACUGCCCCAUUCAAGCAGUGGUACCUAACACACUAUGGAGUGGACAUCGGUAGGAAGAAGAAGGCACCUGCCGCCAAGAAGGAUGCUCCUUAGAGGGCGAGGCUGCAGCUGAGGAAGCAAAGAAGAGCAACCACGUCCAGAGGAAGCUUGAGAAGCAUCAGCAGGGACGCACACUUGACCCCCACAUUGAAGAGCUGGUGGCGUGCAUUUCUUCCCGCCCUGGGAAGUGUGGCAGAGCUGGUGGGUAUGUAAUAUCAGAAUUCCGUUUGUCUUUCUUAGAACUUUUACCUGUCUGUAUACUCGACAUCAAUAUUGCAGCAUAAAAAGGAAUGUUUGUUUGUAGCAUAUUAGAGAAGUAUCUCCCAAUUGAUUUACCUGAGAACAAGUUUGCACUUUAAAUCCAUUGCAAACCCAUCACGGUUUGAAGAGACUACCAGAUUUUAAAUUU